CGGGGCUCGACGCUAGGAAUUAGGCUGAGGAUUUCCACCCGAUCCUCGAACCUCCGGCCCAUCUCAUAGACGCCCCUCCCCCUUCAAACACCCUCCCCCACAUUUAUUCCAGCGUCUCUAUUUUAAAGAUGGGUAAACUGAGGCACAGGGAGCCGGGCCGGGGAGCACUGACAGAACCAGAAGCAGGGUCUGCCUCCCGUCCCUUCGGAGGGCCUACUUGCCCCUUCUGGGUUUCGUCGGGGGUCUCAGAUACGAGCAGGCCCAGCUGGAAGCCACCUGAGGGUGUCCCCCGCUAAGAUGCGCAAAUGGGAAAAGCGAGGCCGGGGUUGGGGAAAGAACUUGCCCGAGCCGCAGAGCGCGUCAGCCGGGGAGGUCCGUGGGGGAGCGACUCGCGCGACCAAGGCUCGGGUAUCUGGGCCCGGCGCGGAGCCUGCAGGGCGGGGCCGCGGCGCCUGCUGAUGACGCAGUGGGCGCGGCGGCCCUAGCGACGCAGUUACUAGGGAGCGGCGAGCCGAGACGGCUAUAUGGACGCGACUACCGCCCCGCACCGUAUCCCCCCCGAGAUGCCCCAGUACGGGGAGGAGAACCACAUCUUCGAGUUGAUGCAGUGCCCAGGAUUAUAAUAUUAGGUCCGCCUGCCUCGGGGAAAACAACGAUAGCAAUGUGGCUCUGCAAACAUCUGAACAGCAGUCUCCUCACUGUGGAGAACCUGAUCUUAAACGAGUUUUCCUAUACGGCCACCGAAGCCAGAAGGCUUUAUCUGCAAAGGAAGACAGUUCCCAGCGCGCUGCUUGUCCAGCUGAUUCAGGAACGCCUGGCUGAAGAGGAUUGCAUCAAGCGGGGCUGGAUUCUGGAUGGCAUCCCCGAGACGCGUGAGCAGGCUCUGAGGAUCCAGACCCUGGGGAUCGCCCCCAGACACGUCAUCAUGCUGAGUGCUCCAGACACGGUCCUGAUCGAGAGAAACUUGGGGAAGAGAAUCGACCCUCAAACUGGAGAGAUUUAUCACACCACCUUUGACUGGCCACCCGAAUCUGAAAUCCAGAACCGUCUCAUGGCGCCAGAGGACAUCUCAGAGCUGGAGACGGCUCAGAAACUGCUGGAGUAUCAUAGGAACAUCGUCAGGGUCAUUCCCUCCUACCCCAAAAUCCUCAAAGUCAUCAGUGCUGACCAGCCAUGUGUAGACGUCUUCUACCAGGCUCUGACCUAUGUCCAAAGCAACCAUCGUACUAAUGCCCCGUUCACCCCGAGGGUGCUGCUGCUCGGGCCUGUGGGCAGUGGGAAAAGUCUGCAGGCCGCCCUCCUGGCCCAGAAAUACAGGCUUGUCAACGUCUGCUGUGGGCAACUGCUGAAAGAGGCUGUGGCAGACAGGACCACGUUUGGCGAGCGCAUUCAGCCCUUCUUUGAAAAGGAGAUGGCAGUUCCUGACAGCCUCCUCAUGAAGGUGCUGAGCCAGCGCCUGGACCAGCAGGACUGCAUCCAGAAAGGCUGGGUGCUGCACGGCGUCCCGCGGGACCUGGACCAGGCACACCUGCUGAACAGCCUGGGCUACAAUCCCAACAGGGUGUUUUUCCUGAAUGUGCCAUUUGAUUCCAUCAUGGAGCGGCUGACUCUGAGAAGAAUUGAUCCAGUCACUGGGGAAAGGUACCACCUCAUGUACAAGCCACCUCCCACCAUGGAGAUCCAGGCUCGCCUCCUGCAGAACCCGAAGGAUGCUGAAGAGCAGGUCAAGCUGAAAAUGGACCUGUUCUACAGGAACUCGGCUGACUUGGAGCAGUUGUAUGGGUCGGCCAUCACCCUCAAUGGGGACCAGGACCCAUACACAGUCUUCGAAUACAUCGAGAGCGGGAUCAUUAAUCCCCUGCCCAAGAAAAUCCCCUGAUGGGUUCACAGCCAGGAGUGCCACCCCAGGGAAAGAGUUAAUCCCCUGUCCCCAGCCCCCCAGCCUUGGCACAGCUCCCCUAAAAAGCCAAUAAAGCCUGCUGGAUACAG
rnacentral:sRNA from 1 species